rnacentral:rRNA from 1 species
GAGCGGUAGCACAGAGAGCUUGCUCUCGGGUGACGAGCGGCGGACGGGUGAGUAUGUCUGGGAAACUGCCUGAUGGAGGGGGAUAACUACUGGAAACGGUAGCUAAUACCGCAUAACGUCUUCGGACCAAAGUGGGGGACCUUCGGGCCUCAUGCCAUCAGAUGUGCCCAGAUGGGAUUAGCUAGUAGGUGGGGUAAUGGCUCACCUAGGCGACGAUCCCUAGCUGGUCUGAGAGGAUGACCAGCCACACUGGAACUGAGACACGGUCCAGACUCCUACGGGAGGCAGCAGUGGGGAAUAUUGCACAAUGGGCGCAAGCCUGAUGCAGCCAUGCCGCGUGUAUGAAGAAGGCCUUCGGGUUGUAAAGUACUUUCAGCGAGGAGGAAGGCAUUAAGGUUAAUAACCUUAGUGAUUGACGUUACUCGCAGAAGAAGCACCGGCUAACUCCGUGCCAGCAGCCGCGGUAAUACGGAGGGUGCAAGCGUUAAUCGGAAUUACUGGGCGUAAAGCGCACGCAGGCGGUCUGUCAAGUCGGAUGUGAAAUCCCCGGGCUCAACCUGGGAACUGCAUUCGAAACUGGCAGGCUAGAGUCUUGUAGAGGGGGGUAGAAUUCCAGGU